rnacentral:rRNA from 1 species
GACGAGCCACACGAACGUUUAUUCGGAAUUACUGGGCUUAAAGGGUGCGUAGGCGGUGCGGAAAGUUGGGUGUGAAAUCCCUCGGCUCAACCGAGGAACUGCGCUCAAAACUACCGUACUUGAGGAAGAUAGAGGUGAGCGGAACUUACGGUGGAGCGGUGAAAUGCGUUGAUAUCGUAAGGAACACCCGUGGCGAAAGCGGCUCACUGGGUCUUUUCUGACGCUGAUGCACGAAAGCUAGGGGAGCAAACGGG